rnacentral:sRNA from 1 species
GCCAGGUGCAGUGGUGCACGCCUGUAAUCCCAGAGACUCAGGAGGCUGAGAUAGGAGGAUCGUGUGUUCAAAGCCAGCCUCAGCAAUGGUGAGGCACUAAGCAACUCAGUGAGACCCUGUCUCUA